rnacentral:rRNA from 1 species
CAGCAGUGAGGAAGGUGGGUAUGUUAAUAGCAUACUCAUUUGACGUUAGCUGCAGAAGAAGCACCGGCUAACUCCGUGCCAGCAGCCGCGGUAAUACGGAGGGUGCGAGCGUUAAUCGGAAUUACGUGGGACGUAAAGCGCAUGCAGGUUGGUUUGUUAAGUCAGAUGUAGAAACGGCCCGGGGCUACAACCUACGGAAUUGCUAUUUAGAAACGUGGACAAACUAGAGUACUGUAGAGGGGGUAGAAUUUCAGGUGUAGCGGUGAAAUGCGUAGAGAUCUGAAGGAAUACCGGUGGCGAAGGCGGCCCCCUGGACAGAUACUGACACUCAGAUGCGAAAGCGUGGGGAGCAAACAGGAUUAGAUACCCUGGUAG